AAUGACAUCAGCAUUAGAAGAGAUAGCGGAGUUGCCCUGGUAAUGGAUUUGCCUCAUAGAUCAUUACAUGUCACCAUGUCAUCAGAAAUCAUCUGUCAACAGCUAAGACUUUAGCAGCUCAUAUCUUACCUGCACUGGAGGAAACCCAAGGAAGACAGGAGUUUGUUAUGUUGUGUGAAGGGGAGCUGUCAUUAAUGAACUCCUUUUAAUUGUCCUGGGUGACUGAGAAGAUAACACCCUCACAGGGGAGUUGGAAAAGCAGGAUCUCAACGCUGUUUGCUGAAGAGGACAGAGCCAUUAUCCUCUCUUGGUAAUUCCACAUCCUUUCCUGGGUUGUGCGUUGCUUGAAGAUCCUCUUAUGGUACCCAGAAUAUUCUUAGUCAAAAUUAAGUUUUCACUUACUGGAAACACUGUGGUCUUGUAGAGGCUGAAGAAGAUCUUCUGAUAUUCUUAGGGAAUGAUAAAAGUUUCACUGAAGUUGCAUCUGGUUCUUGAAUAAACAAG
rnacentral:lncRNA from 1 species